UACGUAGGGGGCAAGCGUUGUCCGGAUUUAUUGGGCGUAAAGAGCGUGUAGGCGGCUUUACAGGUCCGUUGUGAAAACUCGAGGCUCAACCUCGAGACGCCGGUGGAAACCGUAAAGCUAGAGUCCGGAAGAGGAGAGUGGAAUUCCUGGUGUAGCGGUGAAAUGCGCAGAUAUCAGGAAGAACACCCGUGGCGAAGGCGGCUCUCUGGGCAUUUCCUGACGCUGAGGCGCGAAAGCGUGGGGAGCAAACAGG
rnacentral:rRNA from 1 species